UUCAGGAUGUUAUGCACCUACAUCUUCUUUGUUUUAUUUAACUUAAACCAUAUAGUUGGACAAAAAGGGAUAUGCGAUGGCCCAAGAAAGUGUUGCAGAGGAUUCCAAUUAGAUUCAUCAGGAAAUUGCGUCAAAUGCAUUUAUCCUGCCUUUGGACCUAGAUGUAGGCAAAACUGCACAUGUCCACAGUCGGAUUGUGACAUCUUUACAGGAUGCAAACUUGAAAGUAUUCAUACAG